rnacentral:rRNA from 1 species
UACGUAGGGGGCAAGCGUUGUCCGGAAUCAUUGGGCGUAAAGAGCGUGUAGGCGGCUUGGUAAGUCCGCUGUGAAAGUCCAGGGCUCAACCCUGGAAUGCCGGUGGAAACUGUUAAGCUUGAGUCCGGAAGAGGCGAGUGGAAUUCCUGGUGUAGCGGUGAAAUGCGCAGAUAUCAGGAGGAACACCAAUGGCGAAGGCAGCUCGCUGGGACGGUACUGACGCUGAGACGCGAAAGCGUGGGGAGCAAACAGG